rnacentral:rRNA from 1 species
GGCCUAACACAUGCAAGUCGAGCGGUAGCACAGGGAGCUUGCUCCUGGGUGACGAGCGGCGGACGGGUGAGUAAUGUCUGGGAAACUGCCUGAUGGAGGGGGAUAACUACUGGAAACGGUAGCUAAUACCGCAUAACGUCUUCGGACCAAAGAGGGGGACCUUCGGGCCUCUUGCCAUCAGAUGUGCCCAGAUGGGAUUAGCUAGUAGGUGAGGUAAUGGCUCACCUAGGCGACGAUCCCUAGCUGGUCUGAGAGGAUGACCAGCCACACUGGAACUGAGACACGGUCCAGACUCCUACGGGAGGCAGCAGUGGGGAAUAUUGCACAAUGGGCGCAAGCCUGAUGCAGCCAUGCCGCGUGUAUGAAGAAGGCCUUCGGGUUGUAAAGUACUUUCAGCGAGGAGGAAGGCAUUGUGGUUAAUAACCACAGUGAUUGACGUUACUCGCAGAA